AUGCCUGAUGCGAUUAUGAACAUGAUGAGGAUUGGUGGAAUGAUGCAACAUAGCAAAAAAAAGGGUAAACAAGGUUUGGGUCAAUGGCCACACCAUACUUGGACGCAACAAGGAGAUGACUACCAUGGUUUUGAUACAUGUUCUCAUAAUUUUGCUUCAGGCUCACAAGCGAGCAGGUAUGGAUCUGGUAAUGCAUAUGACUCUGAUGUCACUGCUAUGCUUAAUAAUAUGCAACUGUAG